rnacentral:rRNA from 1 species
GAGUUUGAUCCUGGCUCAGAUUGAACGCUGGCGGCAGGCCUAACACAUGCAAGUCGAGCGGAUGAAGGGAGCUUGCUCCUGGAUUCAGCGGCGGACGGGUGAGUAAUGCCUAGGAAUCUGCCUGGGUAGUGGGGGAUAACGUCCGGAAACGGGCGCUAAUACCGCAUACGUCCUGAGGGAGAAAGUGGGGGAUCUUCGGACCUCACGCUAUCAGAUGAGCCUAGGUCGGAUUAGCUAGUUGGUGGGUAAAGGCCUACCAAGGCGACGAUCCGUAACUGGUCUGAGAGGAUGAUCAGUCACACUGGAACUGAGACACGGUCCAGACUCCUACGGGAGGCAGCAGUGGGGAAUAUUGGACAAUGGGCGAAAGCCUGAGUCCAGCCAUGCCGCGUGUGUGAAGAAGGUCUUCGGAUUGUAAAGCACUUUAAG